UACGUAGGCAGCGAGCGUUGUUCGGAAUUACUGGGCGUAAAGAGUGUGUAGGCGGUGCUCUAAGUUCGGUGUGAAAUCUCCCGGCUUAACUGGGAGGGUGCGCCGGAAACUGGAAUGCUCGAACGUGGGAGAGGAAAGCGGAAUUCCUGGUGUAGCGGUGAAAUGCGUAGAUAUCAGGAGGAACACCUGCGGUGUAGACGGCUUACUGGACCAUAACUGACGCUGAGGCACGAAAGCGUGGGGAGCGAACGGG
rnacentral:rRNA from 1 species